rnacentral:pre_miRNA from 1 species
AAAAAGAUAAACUCUAGAUUUUCGUGUCUAACGUUUGACCAUCUAUCUUAUAUAAAAAAAAUUAAAAAGAUAAGUUAUGCAUAAAAUAUUAAUUAUAUUUUAUCAUCUAACAACAAUGAAAAUACUAAUUAUAAAAAAUUCCAUAUAAGACGGACGGUCAAAUAUUGAACACGAAAACUCAGUGUUUGUCUUUUU